rnacentral:rRNA from 1 species
GACGAACGCUGGCGGCGUGCUUAACACAUGCAAGUCGAACGGUGAAAGAGGAGCUUGCUCCUCUGGAUCAGUGGCGAACGGGUGAGUAACACGUGAGCAAUCUGCCCUUCACUCUGGGAUAACCUCGGGAAACCGAAGCUAAUACCGGAUACGACGCACGGAGGCAUCUCCUGUGCGUGGAAAGAAUUUUGGUGGAGGAUGAGCUCGCGGCCUAUCAGGUAGUUGGUGAGGUAACGGCUCACCAAGCCGACGACGGGUAGCCGGCCUGAGAGGGUGACCGGCCACACUGGGACUGAGACACGGCCCAGACUCCUACGGGAGGCAGCAGUGGGGAAUAUUGCACAAUGGGCGCAAGCCUGAUGCAGCAACGCCGCGUGAGGGAUGACGGCCUUCGGGUUGUAAACCUCUUUUAGUAGGGAAGAAGCGAAAGUGACGGUACCUGCAGAAAAAGCACCGGCUAACUACGUGCCAGCCGCCGCCGUAAAAC